rfam:Oryza rufipogon genomic scaffold, chr12
UUUAAACGCAACUAUAAGUUUUCGUGUCCAAUUUUGAUCGUCCAUCUUAUUUUAAAAAAUUGAUUAAUAUUUUUUUAUUAUUAGAUGAUAAAAUAAAAAUAGUAUUUUAUGUGUGACUUAUGUUUUUUAUUUUUUAAAAUUUCUUUAAAUAAAACGAACGAUUAAAGUUGGAUAUAUAAACUAAUGACUGCACUUGAA